CAUUAGUUUAAGUAUGAGGCCCCUGCUUUCGUACAUGAGGUGGGGUUCUUUCAAGGGUGGUUGCCCCUCUUUGUGCGAAUCAGCCGCCGAUGAUUUUACGACUUUUUAGUCGCAAGCAAAAAUCCAACAGCCCUUGUGAUAGAUGAUGGAAAUGAUGAUUAUGCUAGAGCAAUUUCCCCGUUUUUCUACUGCUUUUUUCUGGAACCCUAAACCCUAAUCGGCGUCGAUGUGCGAGGCUGUGAUGAUUUUUCGAAGCAAAAAAUCAGAUUUUGAGCGGACCCGUAUCUUGGCGUGGCAAGAUCAGAGAGUCUGUGAGAUGGGUUCUGGGUUAUGUUACUCGGUUCCCGUCUCAUUAGGCCACUGGUUUUUGCAGCCAUGGCGGGUUUAGCCCCUUCUUUUUUCUGAUGAUAAAAGGCGAAUCUGAGCCUCAGUUCCUUGUACAAAUGCAUGUCUUUUCUAUUUUCUUGCAAAAGGGUUUUUUCUUCGUCCAGAUCUUGAUGCUUGUGUGUUGAGAAGAAAUCAGAAAUAGAAGAAAAAUUAAUAACUAAGAGAGGAAAUAUUAGUACAAAAACAGAAGAGAAGAAGAAGAGUUGCUGAAGUAUUAUUCAUUUGUUCGUUGUUGGAACAUAACGUGGAGAGUUCUUGUGAGACUGAAAAUUUUCUAUUCUUUGUUCUGAAUUAGAAUGAUACGGGACUGCUGCACAUAUUUCCUUUCUAUCCUUUCUCUAAAGUCCACCGUAUUGCAUUCUGCGUCGGUGAUUAUGAGUGUGGAAUUAUUUCAACCAAAGUAUGAUUUGCACAUUUGUGUUUGCUCUGUACUGAGCAGAUUCUUUGAAGGAGGAGAUGGGCAAGUUGGAAUGCAAAGUUGACGCGGUGAGCUUAAAUCUUGAUCAUAGUCGGACUUAUUUGAGGACUAGACUGAACUCAUCAACAUGGAUUUCACAGUUUUGGCAAGUUUAGAUUCAUCAAGACAUGAAAAAGUUACCGAUUUUCACUCUCUUUCGAGAAAAUAGAAAAGUUUACAUAGAUGUUAUAAAGUUUGUUUUUCAAUGAAACUGAAUGUGAACACUUUACAUGUGUGGUAAAAUGAAUUCCAUUCCUGCCAAUCCGUACUUGAUGAUUAAUUGGACGUGGCCCAAAUACUAGUAUCACGGAUAGAAUAAGAAUUCUGAUCUCUGUAUCUUGAAUUUAUGCAACAGUCUCCCAGUCUGCACUGGGAACAAAAAUCUCACUCUUGCUUGCAAAUGUCCUUUCUCUUCUUGAUAAAGUAACAGUGAAAAGGAUGACACACAAUACAAAAUGACAAGAACAACCUCUGCACCUCCACUCUUCACCAUUCCGUUUCUCCACCACUAGGGUCAAAGCAGGCUAUCAAGUUCCACUUUCUCGGUUUCCCAAAAACAAUCUUGGAAUGGGAAAGAGGUUUCAUUCAUUACUGAUGAGGGUUUUUGCUGUUUCUGCACAAAGUGUUGCUCAAAUGAUACACGAUUUCUCUACAUUUUCCUUACAAACGAAGAGGAACAAGAAGAGAAAGGGAAACACCAAGAACCCUUCUGCUAUCUUUUUCUUGUUAUCUAUUGCUAAGUCGAUAUUGCCAGAGCAAAUUCCUUCAAGUUAAGAUUGUAAUGUCGAGGCUUUGAUGAUCGCAUCAUUCUCCUAAUCAGAUCUUGAUCAAAUCCGUAGCUUGGCUUGGCAAGAUCAGAUGGCCGGUGUGAUGGGCUUAGUGUAGUUUUACUCUUUGUCCCAUCUCAGUUAGGCAACUGAUUUCCGCAGCCAUGGCGGAACAAGCUACCAUUUCUUCUGAUGAUACAAGUCUACCUGAGCCUCGGAUUCUUGCUUGCAUGUUUAAAAUAAAAACCCAGAAAAAAUAUUGAAGGAGGCUCAGAUCUGUUGUCUUGAACUCAAGCAAAGAGAAUGCGGCCGCGCCAUGGCUGCAAAGCCACCGGUUGCAUGCGAUUAAAAGGAAAAAAGACCUAAAAUCGCAGGCCAUCCGGGUCGCCCUGCCAAGAUACGGGCUGGGUUUUCUCUAUGCCCGAUUCAUCAGCUCAGAAAGAAUCAAUAAAAAUCAUCACAGCCUCUAAUACGUCGAACAUCAUAAGGCCGUCGCCGCCGCCGCCGCCACCACCACCACCGUCAAAUCGACAAACACACGCUAAUUGCAGGUACAGCACAGAGGCUUCAUUUGAAAACAAGGGAUAAUUAUUAUUUCUACUUCAUAUUUUCUUUUCAAGGGCUGUUGGCACUUUCUUAGAGUUGAAUCGAAGAAAUCACGGGGCUUAGAGAGAGGGGCAA